AUUGAACGCUGGCGGCAUGCUUAAGACAUGCAAGUCGAACGGAAACGAUAGGAGCUUGCUCCUAGGCGUCGAGUGGCGGACGGGUGAGUAACGCGUAGGAAUCUACCCUAGAGUGGGGGAUAACCCGGGGAAACUCGGGCUAAUACCGCAUAAUCUUUAAGAAGCAAAGAGGGCCUCUAUACUAUGCUCUUGCUUUAGGAUGAGCCUGCGUCGGAUUAGCUUGUUGGUGGGGUAAUGGCCUACCAAGGCGACGAUCCGUAGCUGGUUUGAGAGGACGAUCAGCCACACUGGGACUGAGACACGGCCCAGACUCCUACGGGAGGCAGCAGUCGGGAAUAUUGGACAAUGGGCGCAAGCCUGAUCCAGCAAUGCCGCGUGUGUGAAGAAGGCCUGAGGGUUGUAAAGCACUUUUCAAUAGUGAAGAAAAGGUGAGUGUUAAUACCACUUACCCGUGACGUUAACUAUACAAGAAGCACCGGCU
rnacentral:rRNA from 1 species